UACGUAGGGGGCGAGCGUUGUCCGGAUUUAUUGGGCGUAAAGAGCUCGUAGGCGGUUCGAUAAGUCGGACGUGAAAUCUCCACGCUCAACGUGGAGGGGCCGUUCGAUACUGUCGUGACUCGAGUCCGGUAGGGGAGUGUGGAAUUCCCGGUGUAGCGGUGAAAUGCGCAGAGAUCGGGAGGAACACCCGUAGCGAAGGCGGCACUCUGGGCCGGUACUGACGCUGAGGAGCGAAAGCGUGGGGAGCGAACGAG
rnacentral:rRNA from 1 species